CCACGCGUCGCGCGGCCGUCGGGGUUCGACGACGGCGGCCGCCUACUCCAAUCUUGCUGCGCGGUGAUCUUCACCGAUUGCCGUCGGCGGGCCGACACGUUUACUUUGAACAAAUUAGAGUGCUCAAAGCAGGCUCAAAUCUGGCGGGGCGGCUUCACGGCCGUCUCGUCAAAAGGCCCUGAAUACUGGUCGCAUGGAAUAAUGGAACAAGACCUCGGUCCCGCGCAUCUCCGCCCUUCGCGGGCGCGCGAAAUCGCCCUCCGGGGCGUUUCCGUGCGCGGGCCGCCGGGCCGCGGGCGCCAGUCGCCCGCGCGUCCCGCCGGGCCGGUUUUCGGGACCGGAGGUAAUGAUCAACAGAGACGGGCGGGGGCAUUCGUACCGAGACGUUAGAGGUGAAAUUCUUGGAUCGUCUCGAGACGAACUGACGCGAAAGCAUUUGCCAAGUACGUUCUCGUAUGAUCAAGAACGAAAGUUAGAGGUUCGAAGGCGAUCAGAUACCGCCCUAGUUCUAACUGUAAACGAUGCCAGCUAGCGAUCCGCCGGCGUUUCAUUAACGACCCGGCGGGCAGCUUCCGGGAAACCGAAGCUUUUCGGUUCCGGGGGAAGUAUGAUUGCAAAGUUGAAACUUAAAGGAAUUGACGGAAGGGCACCACCAGGAGUGGAGCCUGCGGCUUAAUUUGACUCAACACGGGAAACCUCACCAGGCCCGGACACCGGAAAGAUUGACAGAUUGAGAGCUCUUUCUUGAUUCGGUGGGUGGUGGUGCAUGGCCGUUCUUAGUUGGUGGAGCGAUCUGUCUGGUUAAUUCCGAUAACGAACGAGACUCUGUCCUGCUAACUAGGCGGGUAAACCCGGGUCGGCGUGUGCGCGGCGCGGGCGGUUUCGGCCGUCCGUGUUCGCGUUCCCGUCGGCUCGGCCCGGUAUCCCCGAACGCGUUCGCCCGUCGUCCACGGCGGUCGUCGGGCGCGGCCGCGCCAUCCGCGUCCCGGCGUGCGGCGGGCGUGUGUCGGCUGGGGGGCAACCUCCGGUCGGCCCGCGUCCGUCGUGCGUCGGGCUCCGUGGUGAAGCGCGCCGUGUUCGCGGCCGUCGCCGGCGGAUCACGAUACGUUACUAGGGCUACCGCCGGCUCCCAG
rnacentral:rRNA from 1 species